AUGCGCUGCUCCUCAUUCUUGAAUCAAGCCCUCUCAAUUUCUCAUCUCGCCCUGUCUCCUAACUCUAUUUAUCAGCCACGCCGACCGGAAUCCCCUACAAGCACCGGCGGGCCGGCGCCACCGCACCCAAAACUCCCUGCCACACUGCAACCUGAGUUGGUGGAAGUUGGAACUUCCAUCUUGUCGAGCUGCAACCGGGCAACAAAAGAGUUGCAACAGGGCGAGCGGUUUGCGAGUCGUGUCGAGGAUGCUGGAACCGUCGACGUGAGGUGCUACCACAUGCGUUUGGUUUUGCUGGAGCCAAUAUUCUUUUUUGCUACCAUGGGUGUUUGGUUUUGCUGGAACCACCGCCAAAUUUGCAAGUUUGCUACCACUAACUUUCUGGUUUGCUGGAACGAGCUUGAUUUUUUGCUACAUCCGUGUUUUUCUACUUUUGCUGGGGCACAGUUUCCAGUUUUUAUUUCACAAGUUUUGCUACCACUGUCUUCUUGUUUUGCUGGAUCCAAUGCAUUUUUUUGCUACAAUCAGGUGGGUGGGAGCUGCAUCGUCAGCUCCUGGCUGGAACCAGCAACGCGAAUAGCUGCUACUGGAGAUUUUUGCUUCAAAGGCGAUGGGACCUAGAGAUGCUGGAACCAAAUUUCUUCAUGAGGUGCAGCGGCGAGGCACUUUUUUGAUCUUUUGCUGCCAUUGUGUUUUUUGCUAGAACCAUCGGUUGAUUUUGCUACAACGAGCAUUUGAUUUUGCUGGAACCGCCUGAAGCAGAGCUGAUUUUUGUUGCAACCAUCCAGUCCGCAGCGGGCCUGGCGAGCGGCGACGGCUAGCCGGUAAACGGUCCCGGCCAGCCGACGAGCGGUGGCCACAGAGCUACAACCAUCGCCACCGGGAGCUGCAACUGCGUGCUCACGUUGCUGACGAGAAACGCAGGCGGCGACGGCAGUGACCGGUGAUGAUGACGGCGACCCGCGGCGAGGGCAGCGACAGGGGAGAGGCGCGGGGAAGUGCUCCGAGGCUGGUGCGUCGUCAUCUAUGGAGGCUCGUUGGGAACUUUUUUUAAAUAAAGAAUGUCUGUAUAUAUAUUUCGUGAAGGAAAAAAUGCAGAUACUUAUAGCAUGCAUCCAAAUACAGUACCACAAGGACGACCAUGCAUGGAAGAGCAUGACGAUUAUUUUCCAUGCAUGCUAGUACACUACGUUUCAAGCAACAAGUGAUGUACGUAAACAAUCCCACUAAUCACACACCACACUAACAGAGUCACUAAGCAUGGCAACACAAACGAGCUGGUACAGUACGUGAUAGGCUGAUAGCCUGAUAGUGAUAGGUCAGGGCGUCAGGCCGGGCCACCAUGUCUAGCACUUGCCAUCGUCUGGUUCGUGCGCGUGCCUGACGACGACCUCGUCGACCACCACAGCCUGCUCCUGCACUCGCACGUACUCAGGAAGAUCCUCC
rnacentral:lncRNA from 1 species